AGCGAACGCUGGCGGCAGGCCUAACACAUGCAAGUCGAACGAACCUUUCGGGGUUAGUGGCGGACGGGUGAGUAACACGUGGGAACGUGCCUUUAGGUUCGGAAUAACUCAGGGAAACUUGUGCUAAUACCGAAUGUGCCCUUCGGGGGAAAGAUUAAUCGCCUUUAGAGCGGCCCGCGUCUGAUUAGCUAGUUGGUUGAGGUAAUGGCUCACCAAGGCGACGAUCAGUAGCUGGUCUGAGAGGAUGAUCAGCCACAUUGGGACUGAGACACGGCCCAAACUCCUACGGGAGGCAGCAGUGGGGAAUCUUGCGCAAUGGGCGAGAGCCUGACGCAGCCAUGCCGCGUGAAUGAGGAAGGUCUUAGGAUUGUAAAAUUCUUUCACCGGGGACGAUAAUGACGGUACCCGGAGAAGAAGCCCCGGCUAACUUCGUG
rnacentral:rRNA from 1 species